GACGAACGCUGGCGGCGUGCCUAAUACAUGCAAGUAGAACGCACAGUUUAUACCGUAGCUUGCUACACCAUACACUGUGAGUUGCGAACGGGAGAGUAACGCGUAGGUAACCUGCCUGGCAGCGGGGGAUAACUAUUGGAAACGAUAGCUAAUACCGCAUAAUAUUGAUUAUUGCAUGAAAAUUGAUUUAAAAAUUCUAUCGCAUCACUACUAGAUGGACCUGAGUUGUAUUACCUAGUAGGGCAGGUAACGGUUCACCUAGGCGGAGGUACAUAGCCGAGCCGGGGGGGUGGUCGGCCAACCCGGGACUGAGACACGGCCCAGACUUCUACGGGGAGGAGCAGGAGGGGAUCUUCGGACAUUGGCGGAAGUCUGAACGCAGAACGCCGGGUGGGUGGAGGAGGGUUUCGGAUCGUAAAGGUCUGUUGUGAGGGAAGAAAGGGCAUGAGGGUGGAAAGUUCACACUGUGACGGUAUCUAAACAGAAAGCGACGGCUAACUACGUG
rnacentral:rRNA from 1 species